UUUAAUACAAGUGAAAUUCUUUCCUGCAUUCACUUCUGUGUAGUCGCUGUUUGAUAUUCUUGUUAUUGUAUACAGUCAUAUCUUCUACAGACUACAAUUGUCCUAUACUUGUUCAUUCAUGUGUCGAUAUGAAAUAGAAUAUCGAUAUGACUUAACUAUGUUAGCAAUUCAUAUAUUUGAAAUCUUAAAGCCAAAUUCAGUUCAAAUUUCUUUGCUUGAUCAGUGAUCUUUUGAGUAGGCAGUUUCCCUGAGCACACAAGUGGAUCUAUUAACUCGGACGGGAAGGGACUUAAAUAGAAAAGGGGGAAAACACAGGUAUGAAGAAGGGACUUGAAUUGAAAAUACUUGUGGUUCCUCCCUUUUCUAUUCAAUUGGUGGAGGGCCGAGGGCUCCCUGAGCAGGAAGCAGAUGCCAAGCAUUGCCAUCACUCUCGUCAAAAAUUCAAAGCAGAAUCUGAAGAGUGGGAAGCUCCAACUCCUACCAAGAGAUUGAGAUCACACACCAGAAAGGACAAUUGUAGAGGCAGUGCAGUUUUGACACCUACGAGGAAUCCCAGAAGGAUGCUCGGGAUAAGGGUGGUGAAUUGGAGAGAAAUGAAUGAGACGAUGAAUUAUUGGUGCAAUCACAAAAGAGCGCGCUAAGGUGGUAAUGAUGAAGAGUAGUAGCGUAGGCAGUCCAAGUGAUGCAGAGGAUAGACUGAAGUCCCUCAUUCAAAAUCUUGGUUUUCUUCUCCAGGAAGAUAAUCCUAUUUCGCCGAUUCACAUUUCCUCUGCACAGAGAGCAAACUCUCGCUAUGAAAGGAAAAGCUACUCGAGUUUCCAUCAAGAGGCUCAACCCGCCAGA